AUUGAACGCUGGCGGCAGGCUUAACACAUGCAAGUCGAGCGGGGGAAGGUAGCUUGCUACCGGACCUAGCGGCGGACGGGUGAGGAAUGCUUUGGAAUCUGCCUAUUAGUGGGGGACAACAUCUCGAAAGGGAUGCUAAUACCGCAUACGUCCUACGGGAGAAAGCAGGGGCUCGGCGGCCCUUGCGCUAAUAGAUGAGCCUAGGUCGGAUGUGCUAGUUGGUGGGGUACAGGCCUACCAAGGCGACGAUCUGUAGCGGGUCUGAGAGGAUGAUCCGCCACACGGGGACGGAGACACGGCCCAGACUCCUACGGGAGGCAGCAGUGGGGAAGAUUGGACAAUGGGGGGAACCCUGAUCCAGCCAUGCCGCGUGUGUGAAGAAGGCCUUAUGGUUGUAAAGCACUUUAAGCGAGGAGGAGGCUACUUUAGUUAAUACCUAGAGAUAGUGGACGUUACUCGCAGAAUAAGCACCGGCUAACUCUGUGCCAGCCGCCGCCGUAAUAC
rnacentral:rRNA from 1 species